AACUUUCAACAACGGAUCUCUUGGUUCUGGCAUCGAUGAAGAACGCAGCGAAAUGCGAUAAGUAAUGUGAAUUGCAGAAUUCAGUGAAUCAUCGAAUCUUUGAACGCACAUUGCGCCCAGUGGUAUUCCACUGGGCAUGCCUGUUCGAGCGUUAUA
rnacentral:rRNA from 1 species